AAAUAUUCUCCUUUAUUAGAUAGAGCCGAGAAGAUGGGUACGAUGAUCAAAACCUACGCGCUUACGGGUGGGGUGGGGAGACACGCGCGGGCCCUUGCGUGGGCUCUGCACGGCUUCCCCCCCCUCCCCCGAUGCUGGCCCCGCGCAGGCCCGCAGCAGAGCCCAGGGCAUGCUAGCUGGUUUAAGGAGAGACGUCAGGUAUCGACUGCCAGUGAUGUGUACAUCCAAGCGUGGUGACUUCCCCACAAGUUCUGCCUGCUCCUGGCCCAUCAGCUCUUUCCAUUGACCUUCCCCUUGUCCUGUUCUCCAGAUUGGCUGUGGAUAUCACCGGGGACUAUACUACUGCUUUGGUGUAUUAGUUACUUUUCUUGUUGCUAUGACGAAAUAACUGACAGGCAUCAUCUUAAUCUCAAGGCCUUCCCCCAGUGGUCCACAUCCUCCAGUGAAGCUCCACCUUCUAAAGGUUCCCUAACCUUCUCGAACAGCACCACCAGCAGAGCACCAAGUGUUCAAAUGCACAAGCCAAAGGGCCAUUUCACAUUCAAACUACAACUCUUAAUAGAUGACUGUGUUUCACCAUGGUUAAUAUUGUAGUAUAUAUGUUGUUCACCAUAAAAUGGUAAGCAAAGUUCUUCUAUUUUCUUAAUAAACUAUUUCAGGUCCUUGAUUACGGAGUAUUUAGAUUCUGCACCUUGAUCCUGUCAAAAUCAUCAACACUCUUCCUAGUACCUCCCUAUAUUCCACAGAUUUUCUAGCCAGGCCAUCACUACUACCAAAAUAAAUAUUUCAUGCCUUAGUGCAUCUGGGAGAUGGCUGGCAUUCUAUCCAAUCAAAAAUCAGCUAUUUUAAUACUGUACACUACAGAUGUUAUUGGAUUUUCAAAGCUAUGCUUCAGAAGCUACCUCUAGUACACAGGGAGAGCAAGGAGAUAAGACUUAAACUAGCCUGCUGGGCCUGGUGGUGCAUGCCUUUAAUCCCAGCACUCAGAGAGAGAGAGAGACAUUGGAUCUCUGUGAGCAGUCAGGGCUGCCUGGUUAGACCCUGUCUAAAAUAAACAAUCAACAACUGGUAAAUUAGAAAGCUUCUCACAUCUGUCUUCUAUAUUGCCAUUUGUCUGCCCAGUACUUUCCUUUCUCUCCAGGGCUCCUUUUCUUUGGGGGAAAUAUUUCUGCCUUUAGCAGGUUGUUACAGAAGUGAGUAGUGCUCCAGCAUUCCUUCCCCUGUGAGGCUUUAUCUACAAGCCCACUAAAGCUCUCAGCACAUCAUGCCCAGCUCUGCUACAGAGAGUAUGCUUAAGUUAACCAAUAUAUUCUCUUUUAUAUAGUACCUAACUUGAGUUGACUUCUGAGAACAAAACGGGUGGACAUUUUUUUUUUUUUUGUCUAGCCACAUUCUUUCAGAGAAGACUAACUGCUAAAUACAGUUGGACAUCACCAAACAGAAGUACAAAAAGCAGUACCAUUGUCUUCACCAUCAUGGGUUGAAUCGCAGUCUAUAAACAAAGCAGACAUUCCCUUUAUGAAGAUAAAUUUAGAACGAUUCUCUCUGUAUAUGAUCUAUCAAAGCACAGUCCCCAGUUGCCUCCUGGCCAGUUGUCUCUAUGUAGUAUGUAGAGUGAACAGCCAUGGGACAGUACCCUCUAAUUACUUGUGUAUGUACAACUCUAUCUUACAUCCUAUAUAGUGAGCUCUGUCAUUAGCAAAUAAUAAAAUAUGAUAUUGCUUAUCUAUGAAUGUUGGAUACAAAUUAUCAAGAAAUAUUUGAUUAAUGGUAGUCCUUCUCAAGUCAUACCAUCAGCAUUUUUGUUUGUUUCUUUUUUUUCAAGACAAGUUCUCACUAUGUAGCUUAGACUGGAAUGGAACUCACUGUGUAGCUCAGCCCAGACUAGCUUUAAACUCAUGAUCCUCCGGCCUCUGUCUUCUGACUACUUUUUACAGAUGUGGUACCACAUCUAGCCCAUGUCAUCUUAAUUUCCUAGGAAUUACCUGCUAGUAAAACAAAUCAGAAAUAACAAUUCUUUUCUCUCACAUUAAAGGAGUCUGCUAGUGGCCAAUUCAGGGACCAUUAUGGCCAACAGGACCAUGUUACCUUUAAAUGGUGACUUCCUUUCCUGUUUGAUAGUCCAGUGCCUCUCUCAGGGCCCACCCCACAUAAUUGUACAAUUUACUGAAAUGCUGCUGAUCAGGAUGUGAGUAGGGGAUGAAUAUUCUAAAGGACUGCUUGUAGUCAUAGGAGGAGCUUCUAACUCAUCUACAAGGAUAGGAGUGUCUUCUGCUCAAAGACAGGAAAAGAUGUGGAUGUUGGAAUUCUAACUAUCUCAUUUAUUUUCUUGACAAUGCAAAUUUUAUCUUCACCUGUAAGCACUUUCCUGGAAGGUCUGCCUAAAAUACUUACUUGGAUUUUAUUAGCCAUAAACUUAAUGAAAAGUCAUUAACUAGCUGAAAAAGAAGCUGAGAAACUACUUCUGUUCAACACAUUGCUACCAGAAGUGAAACACUGGGCAGCAUAGACAGGAUCCAUCUCUGCAACAUUGAAUGGCUCGGGGGUCCAGAGAAAUAAGUGAAGACAGUGGAUUUAAUUUUUUUAAAACUUUUAAUGCUGGCAAAGCAAGCAUGCCGUGGUGCUUAUCUAAAUUAAAGUGAGGCAUUUUCAGCCAAACUUUCAUGGUCUGUAUUUAGAAGCUCAUAAUUAAUUACUCCCUUUUUUCCUUUGUUUCUUUAUCUCUCCGAAAGGUCAGUAGAGCUUGUUUUUUGUGUCCUCAAGAACAUCUAUAUUUAAAUUCUGAGAUGUCAAAUAGAAGGAUUCCCUUACUCUGUAAAUUUUUAAAAGAAAAACUUUCUUCUAAAGGGUAAGGUCCUUUUCUUGUCCCAAAUACCAUUGAACUUUUAGGAGUGUGUGCAUAUUAUGCUUGUAACUAUUUCUAAGCCAGUAAAUUGUACGGGGUUCCCCACUGCCUUUCCAGGAUGGUUAUAACCUGGACACCAACACUGGCAAAUUUAGCACCUUUCUCCGUCACUCUCCCUGGUUUAUAUCCACACUUGUUUCACAUAUUCCGACUUUCCCAAUCUGGUUCUCUGGUUGACUGGCUUCCACUGUUUGGCCUUCCAUUUCCACACUCUCAAAGGAGUUGUCCUUCCAAGCACCUGCCCCAGCAUUCCCUACAGCCUUCCUUGAUGCUCUCUCUCACAAUGGGUCAUACCCUCCUUCCCCUUUGAACACCCACAGCUUGUUGAGGAGAGGUCCUCUGCCGUGUGAACUAAGCCCGACUGGAACCCAGUGACUUGAGAAAAGCAUGUUUGACUCCAGAUUGUUGGCUCUGCCCCUUAUCGUACAAUCUUGGGGAAACUGCUUCACUUCAUCUGAAACAUCAAAUAUCCAAUUUCAGGGCAACAGCAUUUCCCAUUCUGUGAAGAGACCUCGGAAGUAGCUACACCACUGUGCGGAGGCCCAGGUGGGGAAUGAAGGAGACUGGGCUGGCUGAUUGAUCACGUCGUGUGUAAGGAGCUGGAGUGGUAUAAACAAAGUUUGUCGAUAGACAGCUGCAGGAAGGAGAGACAAUGGCAGCCCUUAUCAACAUGAUGAGAGGUGCUUCCUUCAGAUACAAAAGUGAUCUCUGGAGCUCCGUUUCCCAACCAUUCUCCAAGCCCGGAUCCCACAGCGCGUCUUGUUAAUAUGGCUCUUAUGUUUUACUUUGUUUGACACUCCCUUUUUUAAAUAACCUUGACUUAUUGAAGGAACCAGAUGUUCCAAUUGAAGAAACAAUCAUUCCAAACAACGUCAAACUUCUGGUUUGUUUGAUUACUUGGACAAAUAUAUUAGCAUUUGCUUUGAUCCAUUAUCUCCUCUGUUUUCUGGAAUCUAUGUUAUAACUAAGGAUUUAUUGGAUUAAAAUUAAAUAUUUUUUGUUAUAAUA